rnacentral:misc_RNA from 1 species
UACAUGGGUCAUCGUCGAUUCCUUGCAGCAAACCACCCGGUACGGAAGAAAGGCAAGCACUUCGAACAUAAGGCCGACCACCGUACGAAGCCUAAACAUCGCAGCGGGAAAACAGUGUUUGCUAUGGUUAAAGAUCUUAAAGUAGUGUUCGGAAAGGGGCCUGGAAGCCAGCAUAUAGAGAGCGAAGAUGGUCACGCGGCGAUGUGGAAAAAGAACUCUAUAUUUUGGGAGUUACCAUAUUGGGAAUUCUUGGACGUACGCCACGCAAUCGACGUGAUGCACCUCACUAAGAACCUUUGCGUAAACCUUCUUGGCUUCCUAGGUGUAUACGGAAAGUCGAAAGAUACACUG